AGCGAACGCUGGCGGCAGGCCUAACACAUGCAAGUCGAACGAACUCUUCGGAGUUAGUGGCGGACGGGUGAGUAACACGUGGGAACGUGCCUUUUGGUUCGGAAUAACUCAGGGAAACUUGUGCUAAUACCGAAUGUGCCCUUCGGGGGAAAGAUUUAUCGCCAUUAGAGCGGCCCGCGUCUGAUUAGCUAGUUGGUGAGUUAACGGCUCACCAAGGCGACGAUCAGUAGCUGGUCUGAGAGGAUGACCAGCCACCCUGGGACGGAGACACGGCCCAGACUCCUACGGGGGGCAGCAGUGGGGCAUCUUGCGCCAUGGGCGAAAGCCUGGCGCAGCCAUGCCGCGUGAAUGAUGAAGGUCUUAGGAUUGUAAAAUUCUUUCACCGGGGACGAUAAUGACGGUACCCGGAGAAGAAGCCCCGGCUAACUUCG
rnacentral:rRNA from 1 species